CACGUAGGGCGCAAGCGUUGUCCGGAAUUAUUGGGCGUAAAGAGCUCGUAGGCGGUCUGUUGCGUCCGCUGUGAAAACUCGGGGCUUAACCCCGAGCCUGCAGUGGAUACGGGCAGACUAGAGGUAGGUAGGGGAGAAUGGAAUUCCCGGUGUAGCGGUGAAAUGCGCAGAUAUCAGGAGGAACACCGAUGGCGAAGGCAGGUCUCUGGGCCACUACUGACGCUGAGACACGAAAGCGUGGGUAGCAAACAGG
rnacentral:rRNA from 1 species